CCAGACUCCUACGGGAGGCAGCAGUGAGGAAUAUUGGUCAAUGGCCGCAGGGCUGAACCAGCCAAGUCGCGUGAGGGAUGACGGUCCUAUGGAUUGUAAACCUCUUUUGUCAGGGAGCAAAGGGCGCCACGUGUGGCGUUUUGCGAGUACCUGAAGAAAAAGCAUCGGCUAACUCCGUGCCAGCAGCCGCGGUAAUACGGAGGAUGCGAGCGUUAUCCGGAUUUAUUGGGUUUAAAGGGUGCGCAGGCGGAAGGUCAAGUCAGCGGUAAAAUUUCGGGGCUCAACCCCGUCGUGCCGUUGAAACUGGCGUUCUUGAGUGAGCGAGAAGUAUGCGGAAUGCGUGGUGUAGCGGUGAAAUGCAUAGAUAUAUGGAAGAACACCAGUGGCGAAAGCGGCUCUCUGGUCUGUAACUGACGCUGAGGUUCGAAAGCGUGGGUAGCAAACAGGAUUAGAUACCCUAGUAA
rnacentral:rRNA from 1 species